rnacentral:tRNA from 1 species
CAGUAAGUAAGCUUAGUUGAGCGAGUUUCGGCCUCGCGUAAGCCCGAGGGGCCUUAGCUAG